ensembl:miRNA
UCUCUUGUGUUAAGGUGCAUCUAGUGCAGUUAGUGAAGCAGCUUAGAAUCUACUGCCCUAAAUGCCCCUUCUGGCACAGGCU